AUUGAACGCUGGCGGCAGGCCUAACACAUGCAAGUCGAGCGGAUGAAUGGAGCCUGCUCCUGGACUCAGCGGCGGACGGGUGAGUAAUGCCCAGGAAUCUGCCUGGACGUGCGGGAUAACGUCCGGAAACGGGCGCUAAUACCGCAUCCGUCCAGGUGGAGAAAGUGGGGGAGCUUCGGACCGCAUGCUAUCAGAUGAGCCUAGGUCGGUUUAGCUAGUAGGUGGCGUAAAGGCCUACCAAGGCGACUAUCCGUAACUGGUCUGAGAGCAUGACCAGACACCCUGUAACUGAGACACGGUCCCGACUCCUACAGGAGGCCGCAGUGCGGACUCUUGCGGGAUGGGCGAGUGCCUGAUCCAGCCCUGCCGCGUGUAUGAAGAAGGUCUUCUGCUUGUAGAGCGCUUUAAGUUGGAGGGUAGGACAGUAAGUUUAUACCUUGCUGUUUUGACAUUACCGACAGAAUAAGCACCGGCUAACUUCGUG
rnacentral:rRNA from 1 species